AUUGCACGCUGGCGGCAGGCUUAACACAUGCAAGUCGAGCGAGCGGCGGACGGGUGAGUAAUGUCUGGGAAACUGCCUGAUGGAGGGGGAUAAAUACUGGAAACGGUAGCUAAUACCGCAUACCAUCAGAUGUGCCCAGCUGGGAUUAGCUAGUAGGUGGGGUAAUGGCUCACCAAGGCGACGAUCCCUAGCUGGUCUGAGAGGAUGACCAGCCACACUGGAACUGAGACACGGUCCAGCCGCAUACGGGAGGCAGCAGGGGGGAAUAGUGCACAAUGGGCGCAAGCCUGAGGCAGCCAUGCCGCGGGGGGGAAGAAGGCCUUCGGGUUGUAAAGCAAUUUCAGCGAGGAGGCGUUACUCGCAGAAGAAGCACCGGCUAACUCCGUGCCAGCAGCCGCGGUAAUAC
rnacentral:rRNA from 1 species